UACUUAGCUUUAAGCUAAGUAUGCACCUCUUGCGAAAUGAAAUUUCCUAUACAAAACCUAUGCAUAAAAAACGUCGCGAAAUGUUCGCGAAAAAUUUUUUCGUUUCCAUUUCGUAAGCGGUACGCAGCUCUCGCGAAAACGAUAACGAAAAAUGUAGUUAGCUGAGACACGGUUCGACAAACGAUAAGUUUCAUAAUACUUCCGCGAGACAGCGCUGCUUUCUAUUCGCUGUCACCAAGGCAAACUUUUUCCUUGCGAAAUAAUGGUCAGCGGUAUUAUUUCGCACGGAGGCUCGCGAAAUUUUGACAGGUUGCAAUGAAAAAAUAUAAGAAAACACAAGAUUGGUAAUUUUUUGUAUUUUUUUCAUCGCAACCUGUCAAAAUUUCGUUGUUUAGAAAUUCAAUAUUUCGAAUUUGAAUGAUCGAACACCAACAACAUAAUAUGGUAAUCACCCAGCAAGAGAACGCAGUGAUAAUGGGCCAACAGAAACCACAACAUCAAGAUGCUCGGAAAGGACUUUCUCUUUCGAACAAACAAUGGCACGUCAUGUUCAAUCGGCUAACCGUUUGGAAUAAGCGCUUAUCAUCGGUUUCAUGGCAGGGAAGUGAGCAGGUAAAAGAAGGCAUCGUUUUUUCCGCAAGGUCGCUCUGGUCAAAAUUUCAGCGGAUUGCAAGGAAUAAACCACCCGAGGGACAGUACCCGUGCUGAUUCAGGACGAUUACCCAUACUUUGUACCUUGCUAUUGAAUUUUAAUACCCGAUCGAAACGAUGGCAAGCGCUGCCGAUAACUGGGUCAAAAAGACAACG